CGGAGAAGGGGAGAGGAAGAGAGAAAGGAGAGACAGAAACUGGGAGACCCACAAGCCGAGACGAAUGGAAUGGUUUCCUCAGGAUACAGCUUGGCUGCUCGGUCUGGUGGCCAAGGCCCUUGGAGACCUGGCCCCGGCUCACCCUCCGUCCUGGGCUCCUCCUCUGCGCCAGGCCCUGUUCUAGGAGCUGGGGAUCCAGCAUGAGCAAGACAGACAGAAAUUCCUGCCCCUGAGAAGCUGACAUCCUAGACAGUGAACAUGAAGAGAUUAAACAAGCAGAGAUGGGAGAA